rnacentral:sRNA from 1 species
GAUCUGCCGGAAGAGUCAAGUUCUGUGUAUGUCUCCGCGUCUUCCGCGGGGCGGGUGUGCAGGGCCCGCAGCAUUGAACUAGAUGUCGUCCCCGCAGGCCCCAGAAGAUGGGCAGGGCUGUGGCGACCGCGGCGAUCCCCCUGGGGACCUCCGUAGCGUCUUGGUCACGACCGUGCUCAACCUCGAGCCGCUGGACGAGGAUCUCUUCAGAGGAAGGCAUUACUGGGUACCGGCCAAGAGGCUGUUUGGUGGUCAGAUCGUGGGCCAGGCCCUGGUGGCUGCAGCCAAGUCUGUGAGUGAAGACGUCCACGUGCACUCCCUGCACUGCUACUUUGUUCGGGCAGGGGACCCGAAGGUGCCAGUACUGUACCAAGUGGAGCGGACACGAACAGGAUCGAGCUUCUCGGUGCGCUCUGUGAAGGCCGUGCAACAUGGGAAGCCCAUCUUCAUCUGCCAGGCCUCCUUCCAGCAGGCCCAGCCCAGCCCCAUGCAGCACCAGUUCUCCAUGCCCACUGUGCCACCACCAGAAGAGCUGCUUGACUGUGAGACCCUCAUUGACCAGUAUUUAAGGGACCCUAACCUCCAAAAGAGGUACCCAUUGGCGCUCAACCGAAUUGCUGCUCAAGAGGUCCCCAUUGAGAUCAAGCCAGUAAACCCAUCCCCCCUGAGCCAGCUGCAGAGAAUGGAGCCCAAACAGAUGUUCUGGGUGCGAGCCCGGGGCUAUAUUGGUAAGAGGACCCCAUGGAUGGGAGGAAACCACUCUCCAAGGGGUCUACCACUCAUUUGCUGUGCGGCCUUGGGCACAUGAGUUCCCUUCUCUGGGCCUGUUUCCUUAUCUGCAUGAAGGGGAAGUUGGCUUAGCUUCUCACCUGGGCCCUCUCAGCCUUUUGCAUGGGGAGAAUGUGGAGAUGACUAUAAUCCCAACACAAGGCCUUUCUGAGGAAGGCAAAAGGCACCUCGCUGGGGUUGUUGUCCAGCUUUGCUGCUAACUACAAAGUGUCUUUGUGCAAACUGGAAGAAGACACCCCUUUUGGGGCCUAGCGUGGGAGACUUGGGUGGUGAAGACUGAAUUUCAGUCCCUGCUCACCCCUGCCCUCCCCAAGUCGCCAUCUCACUUAUCCCCCGUCACACACACACACUGUAGGCCAAGUGCUCUUGUGCAGCAACCAGUCUGCACACCCAUGCACGGGAGUCCCUUUUUCCCCUACCUCCCUGCAGGUCCUGAGCUGGAAAGCCCAGGAGCCCAGGGCUGAUGGGGACCUGUUGCA